GAUGAACGCUGGCGGCGUGCCUAAUACAUGCAAGUCGAGCGAACAGAUGAGGAGCUUGCUCCUCUGACGUUAGCGGCGGACGGGUGAGUAACACGUGGAUAACCUACCUAUAAGACUGGGAUAACUUCGGGAAACCGGAGCUAAUACCGGAUAAUAUAUUGAACCGCAUGGUUCAAUAGUGAAAGACGGUUUUGCUGUCACUUAUGGAUGGAUCCGCGCCGCAUUAGCUAGUUGGUAAGGUAACGGCUUACCAAGGCAACGAUGCGUAGCCGACCUGAGAGGGUGAUCGGCCACACUGGAACUGAGACACGGUCCAGACUCCUACGGGAGGCAGCAGUAGGGAAUCUUCCGCAAUGGGCGAAAGCCUGACGGAGCAACGCCGCGUGAGUGAUGAAGGUCCUCGGAUCGUAAAACUCUGUUAUUAGGGAAGAACAAAUGUGUAAGUAACGAUGCACGUCUUGACGGUACCUAAGCAGAAAGCCACGGCUAACUACGU
rnacentral:rRNA from 1 species